CCAACCGUGGCGGGCCCGAAAACGAAAACUCUCAGCAGUCCCCAUCAGCCCUCAGCUUUCUUCCCUCCCUUCUUUCUUUCGUAUUCGGCGUCGUGGAAGCCUCCGCCCGCUUCGACUCCUCGCCGGGUUCCGAACCGCUCCAACCAAAGAAGGAAAGGCUUGGGUCCGCAGGAGAGCUUAGAAAUACCUUCCUCUCUCCUCUUUUAUAGUCCCGUUCUUCCGAUUGAUCGGCCGCGAUCCGCUGCUGCUCUGCCGCUCGUCUUCAUCUGCUUGUAGAUGGCGACAGUUCUCUUGCGAUACAUAUAUAGAGAUAGCUUUGGAUGGUAGAUGGUCGUAAUAGACCGGAGAUGGAAUUGGUCGUGAGGGCCAGUCCCCGGGUGAAGCCCCUGCUUCUCAACCUGGGCGUCGCUCUCGCUCUUUCCUUCGCUGGAUUUCUCGUAUACCACCUCCGGUCUCGAUCCCGGCCUCCCGCCUCUUCAGCAGCUGGUGGGAAGCCAUCUUGUGGCCUCAAAGAAGAACUCCGUAUCCGGAAAAAUGAAGAAACAUUGGCUAAGAUCAUUAAUGGGACUUCCACCACCACCACCACUACAACUACAACAACAACUACUUUUGUGGGGCUUUCUCCGACGAGGAAGUGUUCGGGAGAUGAGAAGGGAUUCCUCUUGCCGGAUUUUAAUGAUCUCGUGUCAAAAGAAUUUCAGGCAGGUGUGCGAGAUGUCGAAACCACCCCAACCACCUCGACACCGAAGUUGGAGAGCAAAGAGGAGACGGCAAUGGAGCAAGAGAUUGCACACCUAAGGAAAUUGGUAUGGUCCCUCCGGGAGAGGGAGAGCAGUCUGGAGCUGCAACUCCUUGAAUACUAUGGAAUGAAAGAGCAAGAGGCUGCCAUGACAGAGCUUGAGAACCAGUUGAAGAUCAACUCGAUGGAAACCAAGUUGUACUCUAUAAAGGUCAACUCUUUGCAGGCUGAAAAUCUGAGGCUCCAAUCUAAGGUGUCGGAUUACUCGAGAGUGAUGGCUGAGCUCAAUGCAGCGAGAGCAAAGAUUCAACUUCUGAACAAGAAGUUGAAAUCAGAUGCAGAACAGGCAAAGGAGAGAAUAGCUUCCCUUCACCAGAGGAUCAGUGUGUUGCAAUGCAGGGAGCAGAAGGAUGGAAAAAAUGAUGAAGAGGUUGAGAGGAAGUUGGGGAGGUUGAAGGAGUUGGAAAAUGAAGUUACAGAGCUAAGAGUGGUUAAUUCAAAGCUCGAACGGGAGAAUUCCGACUUAGCACAGCGAUUGGAGGCCACACAAAUUCUUGCAUCUUCUCUUCUUGAGGGUCCGGAGCCCAAGACACUGGACGAAAUCAAUCAAUUGAGACAAGCAAAUGACAAGUUAACAAAGGACUUUGAGCAGCUCCGGACCGAUCGUUGUGCUGAUGUUGAGGAAUUGGUGUAUCUUAGAUGGGUCAAUGCUUGUCUCCGGUAUGAGCUGAGGAACUAUCAAGCCCCUCCAGGAAAAACAGUUGCAAGAGAUCUGAGCAAGAGUUUGAGUCCCAAGUCAGAGGAGAAGGCCAAACAGCUCAUAUUGGAAUAUGCGAAUUCUGGUGCCGAUGAGAAGAGCUUGAGUCUUGCUGACUUUGACUCAGAGUACUCUUCUUCUUCACAAGCAUCCAAUGGAGAACCUGAUGACGGUUGCAUUGAUUUCUCCAUGACAAAGCAUAACAGUUCAAAGAAAUCAAAAUUUUUUAGCAAGCUUAAGAAGCUGGUCUUGGGGAAAGGUGCACACACAAACAAAAUUUCAUCUUCAGAUCGAACUUCCUCAAGCUAUGGUAAUUCUGAAAAAAGGGUAUCAUUUUCCACCUUUUCCAUGGAUGAAAUGAUCGGAAGAGAUUCGUGCAAUAGCCUUUCUUCAUGCUUCAUGGAUGAACCUGGCCACACCAAUCAAUUGGCAGGAAUAGAAGCACAACCGGAUGAACAGCACCAGAGUAAGGUUGCUCAGUUUCAGAAUCACUCUAGGCCCUCUUUGGAUAUCCAAAGACUAAGGAAGCUCAACCUCGAAGAAGUUUGUCGGAAUGAUGAUGAGACAUCAUAUCGGUGCAAGAGCAUGGACUCCCAAGAGGAGAGAUCAAUUAAUUUGUCUCAGAAUAAUAGUCCACUUGACCAUAAACACACCAAUGUUCCUGGAGAGAUCGAGCUUAUGAAGUAUGCAGAUGCUUUGAAGAGCGCACGAGAGGCAGAUAAGUUCAUGAGGAGAUCAUCAUCCUUUAGUAGCCGAUGCUAAUUUUUGUCGAAAUUACUUAAGAGCUUGACAUGGUAUGGCUGCCAAAACAAUCAACCCAAUCUUGCCUUCUGUGGAUGAUAUCAGGAAUGGAGUUGUCUAACAACCAGAAAAUGGUAGUUGCAGUUUGCACUGGGGAACAGUUUGGAUGGCUAAAACUCCCACAAGUGGCAAAUACAAAGCGCAAGCAAUCAUUCUCUACGUACUCAGAUCAUUCUUUUCUUCAACUUAUCGCAAGUCAAUCUAACUUCACAACAUUGGUCAUGAAGUUGUAAGCGUAAGCAAUAAGAGCUUUCCAGAUUCAGUGAUGCUGACUCAAU